CAGCAGCCGCGGUAAUACAGAGGGUGCGAGCGUUAAUCGGAUUUACUGGGCGUAAAGCGUGCGUAGGCGGCUUUUUAAGUCGGAUGUGAAAUCCCUGAGCUUAACUUAGGAAUUGCAUUCGAUACUGGGAAGCUAGAGUAUGGGAGAGGAUGGUAGAAUUCCAGGUGUAGCGGUGAAAUGCGUAGAGAUCUGGAGGAAUACCGAUGGCGAAGGCAGCCAUCUGGCCUAAUACUGACGCUGAGGUACGAAAGCAUGGGGAGCAAACAGGAUUAGAUACCCCGGUAGUCCCUGUCUCUUAUAA
rnacentral:rRNA from 1 species